GUGCUUGCUUCGGCAGCACAUAUACUAAAACUGGAACGAUACCGAGAAGGUGAGCAUGGCCCUACGCAGGGAUGACAUGCAAAUUCCAUAUUUUUUAAAUACUGUA
ensembl:snRNA U6 U6 spliceosomal RNA